GCUUUUCAUUGAGCCAAUUUUUAGCAAAAUGUAUAUUUGUUUAAUAAUCUUAGAGAAGUCAAUAUAUUUACAACUAUGUUUUAGAUAUUAUUUAGAGGUAUGAAUUGAUAAAUGGUUUUCCGAGGUUCUCAUGUUUUAUGUUUUAUCAAGAUGAACAAUGCGGACCAACGCACUAUUUAGACUAAAUCAAUAAACCUACAGAAUGGUCAACCAUUAUUU
rnacentral:lncRNA from 1 species